UACACUCCUGCGGGAGGCAGCAGUGGGGAAUAUUGCACAAUGGGCGCAAGCCUGAUGCAGCGACGCCGCGUGGGGGAUGAAGGCCUUCGGGUUGUAAACUCCUUUCGCUAGGGACGAAGCUUUUUUGUGACGGUACCUAGAUAAGAAGCACCGGCUAACUACGUGCCAGCAGCCGCGGUAAUACGUAGGGUGCGAGCGUUGUCCGGAAUUACUGGGCGUAAAGGGCUCGUAGGUGGUUUGUCGCGUCGUCUGUGAAAUUCUGGGGCUUAACUCCGGGCGUGCAGGCGAUACGGGCAUAACUUGAGUGCUGUAGGGGUAACUGGAAUUCCUGGUGUAGCGGUGAAAUGCGCAGAUAUCAGGAGGAACACCGAUGGCGAAGGCAGGUUACUGGGCAGUUACUGACGCUGAGGAGCGAAAGCAUGGGUAGCGAACAGGAUUAGAUACCCUUGUAGUCCC
rnacentral:rRNA from 1 species